rnacentral:lncRNA from 8 species
CACUAAUUGGUUAAAUGUAGUGGUCAAAUGAUGUGCACUUUAUAGGGAAUAUGGUGUAUAGUUUUAUCAGAGCACUGUUCAAAUGUAGUGCACUAUAUAGGGAAUAGGGUGCCAUUUUGUGACAAAACCAUUAACUUCAAUGUUUUUUCCCCUCUAUUUUUCAGCUCCUUCAGCUCUUUCAAGUUCAACUUCAGUCCCAUCAGCUUGGUGGACGAGAUUCUAACAGGAGAGGAGUGGUCACCAUUCCUGUCCAUCAAGGACAGUCCCGCCCCCUCACCGUCCGUUUACCAAUCAGAGGCUGCUAGCCAACACGGUUAUGAGGAAGGCGACCAAUUAAAGACUGGACCAGAGUCCCAGCGACGUUCAACGUAACCACGAGGACAUAGGCCUUUCUUUAUACGAGGCCGUUAGCUUCAGCCAAUCAAGUCCGAAUGAGAUCAUGGACAACCAAUCGGACAACAGACAACAGGAAGUAGACAACAACAAUGACACAGGAGCUGAUGCCAUUGCUGUCAUCAAACCGAAGAUACUAUUGGACAAUGAUGCAGCGGAGGAGAGUGAGUUGGACCACUCCAGACCCAUGUCUAAGGACAUCCAUGACUCUGUUGAAUUGUGCAAGUCCCCCAUAAGGACCCAAUCAAAGGACCUUCUUGACUUCCUCUGUGUUGAGUCACUUGGAGUUCUGGACAGUUCUGCUCAGAAACAUAACAUUUGUCUGAGCAAAAAGAGAAAGCACAGACUUCCGGGGCUAAAGAAGACAAAAACAGAGACCUUCAAGAUAAGAUGCACUGCAAUCAAAGCCCCUGAAAUAAAAUUCCUCAAACCCUCUCCUCCUUCCACACUCUCCCCCACAUUACUCCCUUCUUCCUCCUCCCUCUCUUCCUCCUCUUCCUGCUCCUCUCCCUCCUAUGUCUUUCCGUCCUCUGUUUUCUACAACAUCCCUCCGUCCGCUGAAAAACAGGACCCUGUGACAUCACCGACACAGGACAUCCUCUCUGGAAAGUUCAGAGUUCAUUUGACCCCGUAA